ACCACGAGUGGAGCUGAACAGAACUCAGCCACCCCCAGAGGAAUGUGGCAUUAUCCAACCCCACACACAGCUGCUCAGUGUCCCCCAAGCCACACAUGAAAAUAAUGAGCUGCAGCCUGACACUGAUGAGUGUGCUCCCCAUUGCACUGCACCAGCUCCAUGUGCUGAUUUUGGGUGUGAAACUGAAGGGGUUGGAGGAAACCCGACUCGGCCAUCAAGCUCACCAAAAUACAAGACAUCAAAACUGCAAUUGUUGCAGAAGACGGUCUGCCGUCUGCGCCGGCAGGUGAGGCAGCUCAAAGCUCAGGCCAUUACCACUCCUGGGCAGUUUUUGGCCAAAGCCAGCAAUUUCCUAGAUCCAAAAGUGGUGGAUUUUUUCAAAGGACAGGUUCAACAUGCUGCAAGAUCUAAGCCUGGUAGGAGAUAUGGGGUACAAGAGAGGAGGUUUGCUCUGGCCUUGUACUAUCAAAGUCCAAAGGCUUAUCGAUUUCUCAGCACAGUAUUUCAUUUGCCUUCAGUUUCAACACUUCACUCAUGGCUCAGGGGUAUUUCACUAAAUGUUGGCUGGAGCAAACAGACUCUGACAGCCCUGAAGAAAAGAGCACA